CCUACGGGGGGCAGCAGUCGAGAAUCAUUCACAAUGGGGGAAACCCUGAUGGUGCGACGCCGCGUGGGGGAAUGAAGGUCUUCGGAUUGUAAACCCCUGUCAUGUGGGAGCAAAUCAAAAAGAUAGUACCACAAGAGGAAGAGACGGCUAACUCUGUGCCAGCAGCCGCGGUAAUACAGAGGUCUCAAGCGUUGUUCGGAAUCACUGGGCGUAAGGCGUGCGUAGGCUGUUUCGUAAGUCGUGUGUGAAAGGCGCGGGCUCAACCCGCGGACGGCACAUGAUACUGCGAGACUAGAGUAAUGGAGGGGGAACCGGAAUUCUCGGUGUAGCAGUGAAAUGCGUAGAUAUCGAGAGGAACACUCGUGGCGAAGGCGGGUUCCUGGACAUUAACUGACGCUGAGGCACGAAGGCCAGGGGAGCGAAAGGGAUUAGAUACCCUGGUAGUC
rnacentral:rRNA from 1 species